rnacentral:lncRNA from 1 species
GGCAUUUAGACGCCGCUGGUGGGCAGCGAGAGAAAGGGGUGGAAAGCUGGGCAUCCGCGUCUGUGCGGCAAAGCGCAGAGUAGGAACCACGUGCCCACGUUCCCAGCCGCCCUGCCCUGGCGACAGCUGGCACAGCCACCGACCGGGAAUAGGUUGGUGCGGGUUGGUGCAAAAUGCAAUGCAGCCGGCGAGGAGGGUGGCUUUGGCCGAGUGAAAGGCUCUUUGUGCCGGCCCGAGGGGUGAGGGGAACGCGGGCGAGCAAACCUGGAGGCUGGGGGUCCUGGCCCGCCGCUGCGCGCCCCUCAGCUGCCGCACUGCACAGAUCCGGUGCGCGCCGGCAGGGGGAGACGUGGAGGGGUGGGGUGGAGACCCCCUAGAUUUGGUCUUUGAUAACGAAAGGAAAGAGACAGCAGCUUGGAGAAAGCGAGAACGCAGCUAAGGGCUUUUUGCCUCCCGCCCGCCUCCCCUAGGGAGCCGGAGAGAUCGCGGCGGCAGCAAGGGCGCAGCGCCUCACCGGGCGCUCUCUCACAGUCGGGGAACCGGGAGGGCGAGCCCCCAACCCUAUCCCGGGGCGGAGCCCCCCUGGAGCCCCCUGGUUCCCGCCGCCCCCACCGGGGAAAGAGAAUCGGGCGCCGCGCUGCCUCGCUCAGCGCCCCGGCCGCGUGGCUUGCGGCUUAUUUUCCCAGCUGGCAAGCGUCGUGCUGCAGACAAGGGAAUGCCUGUGGUGCUGCGUGUUCCGGAGCUCAGGGGUCCCCCGAUCCCGCCAAGCCCCCUCCAGGAGCGGAAGGGUUAAGAAUGAUGUAAGUACGAUACACAAGCCGCUAGCCGCCGGGCUGUAGGACUCCGGGCUUCUUCUCCCCGGCUUUGCUGGGGAACAGUGGGGAACCUUUCCUCUAAAAUGGGUGGCACACAUCGCAGCCCUGGGUCCGAUUCCUGGCUCCUCUGUCCCGGGGUGGUCUGUUAGAAGAGGGUCCUGGUAGAUUUCUGGAAAUGGAGAUUCUGUAUAUUAACAGGGGAACAGUUUAGACAUCAUGUAAAGGUUCCCGAAAAGAAACCACGUCUGUUUAGAAUCCAUUAAUGUUGCUGGCGUGUGUUUUAUUUCUACUCAUUUGGCACGUUCAUACUAUGAGAUGCUUUCCUGUGUCCCCUAAUUGUACUGUUCUGGUUUCCUCUUUUCUUCCUGAAAAUAAAAAGGAAGGAAGGAAGAAUACA